GGUCCAUAGCUCAGUGGCAGAGAAUCUGCUUUGCAUGCAGAAGGUCCCAUUUUCAAUCCCUGGAAUCUCCA
rnacentral:tRNA from 1 species